CUGAAAUCUGAAAAUUGGGUAAAAGUGGCAGCCCGCCGCGCUGCUCAGCCCUGGGGUCCCUCACGCCACUCAGGCGGCCGACCAAAAGAGUGGGUCAAAGUGGCAGCCCGCCGCGCUGCUCGGCCCUGGGGGACCUUUCCCCACCCAUGCGGCCGACUGCCAGAGUGGGUCAAAGUGGCAGCCCUCCGAGCAUUGGCGGGCCCGACCCCCACUCAAGCGGCCCAUAGCCAGAGUGGGAAAAAGUGGCAGCCCGCCGCGCUGCUCAGCCCUGGCGGCCACCCCCCACUCAGGCGGCCGACCGCCAGUGUGGGUCAAAGUGGCAGCGUGCCCGCUGCUCAGCCCUCGGGGCCCCACCCCAAUUCAGGCGGCCCACCGCCAGAGUGGGAAAAAGCGGCAGCCCGCCGCGCUGCUCAGCUCUUAGGGCCGCCCCCCCGACUCAGGCGGCUGACCACCAGAGUGGGUCAAAGUGGCAGCCGGCCGUGCUGCUCAGCCCUGGGGGCCCCUCCCCCACUCAGGCGGCCGACCGUCAGGGUUGGUCAAAGUGACAGCCCGGGGCGUUGCUCAGCCCUGGGGUCCCUCUCCCCACUCAGGCGCCCGACCGCAAGAGUUGGUCAAAGUGGCAGCCCGCCACGCUGCUCACCCCUGGGUGCCGCACUCCCACUCAGGCGGUCGUCAGCCAGAGUGGGUCAAAGUGGCAGCCCGCCUCGCUGCUCAGCCCUGGCGGCCCACCCACACCCACUCAGGCUGCCGACCACCAGAGUGGUCAAAGUGGCAGUCUGCGGCCCCGCUCAGCCCUGCGGGGGUCCCCACUCGGGCGGCCGAUGGCGCAAGUGA
rnacentral:lncRNA from 1 species